rfam:Shigella dysenteriae Sd197, complete genome.
CUUACUGAGAGCACAAAGUUUCCCGUGCCAACAGGGAGUGUUAUAACGGUUUAUUAGUCUGGAGACGGCAGACUAUCCUCUUCCCGGUCCCCUAUGCCGGGUUUUUUUUAUGUC